rnacentral:misc_RNA from 1 species
UCCGGUUUGUCACCGGCAGUCUGGCGUGAGUCCCCAACUUAAUGCUGGCAACACGCCACGGGGGUUGCGCUCGUUGCGGGACUUAACCCAACAUCUCACGACACGAGCUGACGACAGCCACGCACCACCUGUGACGGUGCCCCGAAGGGAGGGUGUGUUUCCACACCUGUCACCGACAUGUCAAGCCCAGGUAAGGUUCUUCGCGUUGCGUCGAAUUAAACCACAUGCACCACCGCUUGUGCGGGCCCCCGUCAAUUCCUUUGAGUUUUAGCCUUGCGGCCGUACUCCCCAGGCGGAGUGCUUAACGCGUUAGCUUCGGCACCACGAGGGUCAAAGCCCGUGACACCUAGCACUCAUCGUUUACGGCGUGGACUAC